rnacentral:rRNA from 1 species
UACGUAGGGCGCAAGCGUUGUCCGGAAUUAUUGGGCGUAAAGAGCUCGUAGGUGGUUUGUCGCGUUGUUCGUGAAAACUCACAGCUUAACUGUGGGCGUGCGGGCGAUACGGGCAGACUUGAGUACUGCAGGGGAGACUGGAAUUCCUGGUGUAGCGGUGGAAUGCGCAGAUAUCAGGAGGAACACCGGUGGCGAAGGCGGGUCUCUGGGCAGUAACUGACGCUGAGGAGCGAAAGCGCGGGGAGCGAACGGG